rnacentral:rRNA from 1 species
UCCGUGACGGCGUGCCUUUUGCAUAAUGAGCCUACGAGUUACCGUUGCUAGCAAGGUUAAGGACUUCAGGUCCGGAUCCGUAGCGAAAGCGAGUCUGAAUAGGGCGCUUUAGUUAGUAGUGGUAGACGCGAAACCGUGUGAUCUACCCAUGGGCAGGUUGAAGCUGUAGUAACAUACAGUGGAGGCCCGAACCGGUUGACGUUGAAAAGUCUUCGGAUGACCUGUGGGUAGGGGUGAAAGGCCAAUCAAACUCGGAAAUAGCUCGUACUCCCCGAAAUGCAUUUAGGUGCAGCGUUGAUUUAUAGUUUUAUAGAGGUAGAGCUACUGAUUGGAUGCGGGGGCUUCACCGCCUACCAAUUCCUGACAAACUCCGAAUGCUAUAAAAUGUUAAUCAGCAGUGAGGGCAUGGGUGCUAAGGUCCAUGUCCGAGAGGGAAAGAACCCAGACCAUCAGCUAAGGUCCCCAAAUGUAUGUUAAGUUGAAUAAACGAGGUUGAACUGCUUAGACAGCUAGGAUGUUGGCUUGGAAGCAGCCAUUCAUUUAAAGAGUGCGUAACAGCUCACUAGUCGAGCGGUUCGGCAUGGAUAAUAAUCGGGCAUAAACAUACUACCGAAGCUAUGGACUUGUAAAAGUGGUAGGGGAGCAUUGUAGUGUCGUCGAAGGUGAAGCGUGAGCUUUGCUGGAGAAGCUACAAAAGAAAAUGUAGGCAUAAGUAACGAUAAUGCGGGCGAGAAACCCGCACUCCGAAAGACUAAGGUUUCCUCAGCUAUGCUAAUCAGCUGAGGGUUAGUCGGGACCUAACGCGAACCCGAAAGGGGUAGUGGAUGGACAACAGGUUAAUAUUCCUGUACCUGCUCACACUAAAAGUGACGGAGGCGAAUAGUUAGUGCGCACAGACGGAAUUGUGCGUUGAAGGGAACAGUAAUGUCCUGAUAGUACACUAAGACUACGGUCGCGGUGAUAAUCUAGCGAAUCGACUUCCAAGAAAAGCGAGUGAAGCAGCCCGUACCCUAAACCGACACAGGUAGUUGGGAUGAGAAUUCUAAGGUGCUCGAGAGAUUCAUGGCUAAGGAACUAGGCAAAAUAGACCUGUAACUUCGGGAGAAAGGUCGCCCCCCUCCGGGGGGGCCGCAGUGAAAAGGUCCAGGCGACUGUUUAUCAAAAACACAGGGCUUUGCUAAAUUGAAAGAUGAUGUAUAAGGCCUGACACCUGCCCGGUGCUGGAAGGUUAAGUGGAGGGUUUAGCUUCGGCGAAGAUCUAAAAUGAAGCCCCAGUAAACGGCGGCCGUAACAAUAACGGUCCUAAGGUAGCGAAAUUCCUUGUCGGGUAAGUUCCGACCUGCACGAAUGGCGUAACGACUUCCCCGCUGUCUCCAACAUCGACUCAGCGAAAUUGAAUUGCCUGUCAAGAUGCAGGCUUCCCGCGGUUAGACGGAAAGACCCCGUGCACCUUUACUACAACUUUACACUGAUAACAGGCACAACAUGUGCAGAAUAGGUGGUAGGCUUUGAAGCAGAAACGCCAGUUUUUGUGGAGCCUCCUUUGAGAUACCACCCUUGUUUUGCUUGUUAUCUAACUGCGGUCCGUUAUCCGGAUCCAGGACCCUGUAUGGUGGGUAGUUUGACUGGGGCGGUCGCCUCCUAAAGCGUAACGGAGGCGCGCGAAGGUUGGCUCAGAGCGGUCGGAAAUCGCUCGUUGAGUGCAAUGGCA